AAUGUGUAUAUUAUUUUAAAACUUUUGUGAGUGUAAUGUUUACUGUUAAUUUCCAUUGUUUAUUUCCCUUUUGUUUAUUGUCUAUUUCACUUGCUUUGGCAAUGUAAACAUAUGUUUAUCAUGCCAAUAAAGCCCUUUGAAUUGAAUUGAGUGGGAGGCCUCAGCCCCUGUGUUGCAUAAAUGCUCAUUGCUGUUUACUGUAAGGGCCAGGGCUGAAGACAUACAGUACAUGGAAAUAACAGGGCAGGUAUCAUGACAUUUUAAGUAUUUCCAAAAGAAACAUUGGUGAUCAUUCUGGUAUAGUUUGUAGUUUUACUCACAUUCACAUGACUGGCUCAGACACCUCAGACAUGAUUGGUUAGUUCAGCCCUAAGCUGCUGCAGUAGGGCUCCCCCAUGAUGUGGCAAUCUACUGUCACUGCCACCUUAUUCAGUAGGUGAGUGAUUACUCUACUGUAGUAGACAGAGAGGUCCCCUACCAUGACUCUACUGUAGUAGACAGAGAAGUCCCCUACCAUGACUCUACUGUAGUAGACAGAGAAGUCCCCUACCAUGACUACUGUAGUAGACAGAGAAGUCCCCUACCAUGACUCUACUGUAGUAGACAGAGAAGUCCCCUACCAUGACUCUACUGUAGUAGACAGAGAAGUCCCCUACCAUGACUCUACUGUAGUAGACAGAGAAGUCCCCUACCAUGACUCUACUGUAGUAGACAGAGAGGUCCCCUACCAUGACUCUACUGUAGUAGACAGAGAAGUCCCCUACCAUGACUCUACUGUAGUAGACAGAGAAGUCCCCUACCAUGACUCUACUGUAGUAGACAGAGAAGUCCCCUACCAUGACUCUACUGUAGUAGACAGAGAGGUCCCCUACCAUGACUCUACUGUAGUAGACAGAGAGGUCCCCUACCAUGACUCUACUGUAGUAGACAGAGAAGUCCCCAGUCUCUCUCUGUUGUCCUCCACUACCAGCACUUGUAAGACUCACUCCCUUCAUCAAAGUUUUUCCCCCAAAUACUUCCAUCUCUUACUCAUAGCUUUUUGAAGGAAAAAACUGUUUCACGUACUGAUAAGCAUAAGUACUAUUUGUCUCAGGAAUUUUAAGCAAAUAUCAGGCAAGUCUGUAUCUGCGUGGUUUAGAUUGGAUAGUAAUUAUUCACCGAGCUGUGAAUGACACAGAGGGCUGUGUUGACAUUCCGCUAAUCUAAAGGCUGGACAUGUUAUGUUAAUGUAGCCAACGCAGGAGAAGAUCACUUCCCUGUUUACUUUCUCACAGUGGACUGGCACAUUGAUAAACCUCUCGAAGACAUAACCUCACACACACGUGUGUGUGCAUCCACACACAUAGAUUUCACUUACAGACACACGUGCACCUGAACACAAAUGCACUCCCUCCCAAACUCCCUCACAUACAGUACACACACACCACACACACACACACACACACAGACAGGCACACGUAUGUGCAUGCACACACAUUCCAGAGGUUGUAUGGAAUGUGGGACAGAAUGGUUGGCACAAGGGGAGCGUGACUCAGCUGCCGGUCCCAGCCCUAUCCCCCUUAUCACCUCUAGGUUGGGUGUGUGUGUGUG
rnacentral:lncRNA from 1 species